CAUGCCGCGUGAGUGAAGAAGGCCUUCGGGUUGUAAAGCUCUUUUGUCAGGGAAGAAACACCGGCUCUAACACAGUUCGGGAAUGACGGUACCUGAAGAAUAAGCACCGGCUAACUACGUGCCAGCAGCCGCGGUAAUACGUAGGGUGCGAGCGUUAAUCGGAAUUACUGGGCGUAAAGCGUGCGCAGGCGGUUGUACAAGACAGGCGUGAAAUCCCCGGGCUUAACCUGGGAAUGGCGCCUGUGACUGUACGGCUAGAGUGUGUCAGAGGGGGGUAGAAUUCCACGUGUAGCAGUGAAAUGCGUAGAUAUGUGGAGGAAUACCAAUGGCGAAGGCAGCCCCCUGGGAUAACACUGACGCUCAUGCACGAAAGCGUGGGGAGCAAACAGGAUUAGAUACCCUGGUAGUCCACGCCCUAAACGAUGCUGACUAGUUGUUCGGGAUUUACAUCCUGAGUAACGUAGCUAACGCGUGAAGUCAGCCGCCUGGGGAGUACGGUCGCAAGAUUAAAACUCAAAGGAAUUGACGGGGACCCGCACAAGCGGUGGAUGAUGUGGAUUAAUUCGAUGCAACGCGAAAAACCUUACCUACCCUUGACAUGUCACUAACGAAGUAGAGAUA
rnacentral:rRNA from 1 species